rnacentral:lncRNA from 1 species
UUAAUCCAACAUCAUUAAGUAGUAGUUUCUCUAGUGCUUCUCGUGAUUACAACAAAUUUUAUUCAAAGCCCCUAACAUGGUAUUUAAAACCAAUUGAUUUCUAUUUCACUUUUAUGGUUAACAUAAAAUCGCAUGUAAUUACAAUAAAUAUAUUCACAAAUAAGUCCCAUUUAAAUUAUUUCUUAUUCACAAAAAAAAAAAUAAUGCAAUCUUAAAUAUCAGGUAAAACUAAAACUCAAACAAAACAAAUUUAUUCCACAUAUUAAAAAAUCACAAACCUUUUUUUAUUAAAGCAUUUAUCUAUAUUAUAAUUUAAAAUUGUCCAACCUAAGAAAAAUGCACCAAAAAACUUGGCAUAUAGCAAUUUUCGAUUUGGAAUGCCACAAAACAGAGCAAAAUUCUUUUUUAUCGGCUGUAUAAUAACAAUCUUUGUAAAAAAUUGCAUAAUGCAGAUCAUUACCUCUAUAGCCACAGAAAGGUGGUCCCACCUUAUAGUUUGUCACCUUGUAACUUCGUCUACAAUAACUCAAAAAGUAUAUGAACUAAAGGUGUUAACAAAUGAUCUUGUCAGUUUUGUAGAUAAAGUCAUCAAGUAUUCUACUCUCAAGACUUAAAUUUACUCGAAUAAAUUUACUUUUGUACAGUAUUAUUUUUUAAACAAAGUAUGUGAUUGCAAUUUAUUUUCUUUAACAUAAUUUAUAUGUACUAAGUCGACAGAGAAAAUUGAACAAUUUCUACAAUCUGGAUGUACUUCUCGUUCUUCGGUCAUCGUUUUUGUUUGUACAGUAUAUUACUGCAGAUGUUGAAAAAGAACAUAAACCAUCAGAAAAUGUAUUUUCAAUUUUGGCAGGACAAUAAAGAUAAGUUUUCUUAAGUCUCUUCACAUCAAAUUUCAUAUUCUCAUAUCUUAUUGGGUCAUAAAAUUGUAUCUAUGCGAUUAUACUAAAUAUAAAAACAUGCAUAUAUCAAACUGUACAUAUCAGAAAACACUUUGCAGGGCAUAAGAGCUGACCUUGCAACUAAAAAACUAAAAUCGUCACUCUUCCAAAGUAUAUAACACAAAAAGCAACUUGAAAUCUCGUAACCUAAGUAGGUUAUGAGAUUUAGUCGACUAUCAGAAACCAAUCCGUGUUUGCUGGAUAUCAUAAUGAAGUAAAAAAAAAAUCAUAUUUUCAAUUAUCACAAUUAUAAGCAGAUUGGGCAACCAUAGCUUUUGUAACUUCAUCAAAACAGUGAGCAUUAAAAUAUUUAGGCUUACGGAUACAAUUGAACCGACUAUUCUCAACAUUAAACCAAUCAAUUGGUAUAAAAAAUACUCCCCAGAUAAUAGUUCAACAAAAGCCCCAACUUAACAAAAUUGCAUAUUGUUUGUUGGUGAAAAUAUCCAAGAAUCAUCACAGACUCAAAUUUAAUAUCGAUAUUGGCUUAGCUUGGGUGAAAUCUUCAACCCAUAAGAUAAGUUUUUGAUUUCUUACUAACAACCAUUAUAUUAAUAAUAUUCCAAAACUAAAUAGAGAUUAGAGAGGGAAUUACGAUCUGUAUUUUUAGAGAUUAAAGACCUUACCUGUGCAUGAGCAUGUAUUUCUGGUUGACUGAUAUCCGUUCCAAUAUAGGAAAUAGCAUAAUUUUGAGGAUAAUGAUCCGAGUAAAUAGCUAAUGAAAGAAAAACAUAUUCAAUUUUGCGGAUAAUCAUGUGAAAUCAAACACAUGCAGGUUGUAACAAUAACAUAAAUAUACAAAAUAGAAAAAAAUAAAAAAAAAAAAGGUCAAAAUACAACUUACAGAAUAUUGCAUGGACAAACAAUGAACAAAAAUUGAACUUACAGUUUACAUCCAUUAACACAAUUUGUAGUUAUCACAAUUCCAAAACCUACUACUGAAACAAUUUCUUACCAGUGGUAGACUCGUCUCUCUCUAAUUUGCUUUUAAUAUGAAACCAUAGAUUGUCAAAAGAGAUUCCAAAACUAAAAUCAAUAUAAAAAUGAGAACCAGCAAAUCUAGGCAAUCAAAAUCAGAACGCGUAAAUUUAGGAAAUAAAAAUUGACCUUCAAUAUAUCAAAGGGAGAGUUGUAAAUUGGAAAAAAAGUUGAUGCAUUUACCUUAUAAUUGUGUGGUGUUCCAAUCCUCAACAAAACCUAGAUGGUUGGACGAAGAUGUAGGUAUAGAUUUAAAUUUGGAUUAAUGGCUUAACUAAGAGACAAGGUUUGCAGAGAGCGAAAUGAAGAACUGAAAAUAAGGAGCAGUCAUACCAUCCAAAGAAAGCCAGGGAAGAUAAGAGCGUCAGAGUGAAGGUCCGAAAUGGAUUAUCAGUUAUCAAAACCUAAAUUAGAAUAUGGGGAGCAAACAGUUCAUAGAAAACCGGUGGUAUGGAGUUAGGGCAUCAAUAUGAAACAACGAUUAUGCUUCUUAUCUGCAAAGAAACCCAUCAAUUGAUCAAUUAUAGAGGAGCGGUGGCGAAACGGGCAAAUGUUGAUAUAUUGGGUUGUUAGGUAGAGAGAGGUGAUGGAGGUAGUGUAUUGAGAAAGUAAGGAAGCAUUAGAGGAAAGGAAUCAUUGGAGGAGGUGAAUGGAAGCGUGGAGAUGAAGAGAUUACUUUUCAAACGGUGGCACAUUGUCCCAUUUAGUGGAAUUUAGUGGAACCAUG